rnacentral:rRNA from 1 species
UACGUAGGGUGCGAGCGUUAAUCGGAAUUACUGGGCGUAAAGCGUGCGCAGGCGGUCUGUUAAGACAGAUGUGAAAUCCCCGGGCUUAACCUGGGAAUGGCAUUUGGGACUGCAAGGCUGGAGUACGGCAGAGGGAGGUGGAAUUCCAGGUGUAGCAGUGAAAUGCGUAGAGAUCUGGAGGAACACCGAUGGCGAAGGCAGCCUCCUGGGCUAGUACUGACGCUGAGGAGCGAAAGCGUGGGAGCAACAGGG